rnacentral:tRNA from 1 species
CUAAGGAUGGUUCUUCAGAAGCUUGCUUCUAUCGAACCGUUUUAGAAACAUCAGUGGCCAACGAUCGUCAGGAUUGUUGAGCUGCAUUGGCGGGAUUUCGCCGUCUUCGUUUCUCUUUCUUCGCGGACGAACACGCGCUGGGGCUGCAAGCUUGCAGAAUCCCUGGUCCUUGACUGGAUAUGCGUUAGGGGCUUGUAGCUCAGUUGGUUAGAGCGCGCGCUUGAUAAGCGUGAGGUCGGAAGUUCAAGUCUUCCCAGGCCCACCACACUCAUCGAGUGAGCAUUCGUCUUCUGGUUACGGGGCCAUAGCUCAGCUGGGAGAGCGCGUGCUUUGCAAGCAUGAGGUCGUCGGUUCGAUCCCGUCUGGCUCCACCAGAUGGUUUGAUCAUCGACUGAUCGUACCUGAAUCGUCCGCGAAACAUCACUUCGCACUUACUAGUCCGGAUGGACAGUAAGCUGCGUGAUUUCUGACAUCGUAAAGAGGAGAUCGAUCCGAGUUGGAUCGGGCAACAAGCAAUUGUUGCGCGAUACUUCAUUAUCUCCGGAUCAUUUCGGCGCUCGUGCGCCUUUCAACGUAGCUCACAAGGCUGCGUUUGAGAGACAUGCGAGUUGUAAAUGAUCCUUUUAGCGAAGCUUGACCGCCUCGCUAUCGGAACGAUCUUACGAAGCAAGCUGGUCUUUCUAAUCAUUGUCCGGCUGCAGAUAGCGUUCAUCGAGGGCGCGUGCCGCAAGGUAAUUCUGCAGACAACAUUCUGCCGAGUGUGUGGACAUUGAUAAUGAGAGC